rnacentral:tRNA from 2 species
GUGGCUGUAGCUCAAUGGCAGAGCACUUGACUGUGGAUCAAGUGGUUGUGGGUUCGACCCCCAUCAGCCACCCCU